ACGGGAGGCAGCAGUGGGGGAUAUUGCGCAAUGGGGGAAACCCUGACGCAGCAACGCCGCGUGAAGGAUGAAGGUUUUCGGAUUGUAAACUUCUUUUAUUAAGGACGAAGAAAUGACGGUACUUAAUGAAUAAGCUCCGGCUAACUACGUGCCAGCAGCCGCGGUAAUACGUAGGGAGCAAGCGUUGUCCGGAUUUACUGGGUGUAAAGGGUGCGUAGGCGGCUAAGCAAGUCAGAUGUGAAAUCUAUGGGCUCAACCCAUAAACUGCAUUUGAAACUGCAUAGCUUGAGUGAAGUAGAGGCAGGCGGAAUUCCCCGUGUAGCGGUGAAAUGCGUAGAGAUGGGGAGGAACACCAGUGGCGAAGGCGGCCUGCUGGGCUUUAACUGACGCUGAGGCACGAAAGCGUGGGUAGCAAACAGGAUUAGAUACCCUGGUA
rnacentral:rRNA from 1 species